rnacentral:rRNA from 1 species
UACGUAGGGUGCGAGCGUUAAUCGGAAUUACUGGGCGUAAAGCGUGCGCAGGCGGUGAGCUGUGUCCGAUGUGAAAGCCCCGGGCUUAACCUGGGAAUGGCAUUGGAAACUGGCUCGCUGGAGUGUGGCAGAGGGGGGUGGAAUUCCGCGUGUAGCAGUGAAAUGCGUAGAGAUGCGGAGGAACACCGAUGGCGAAGGCAGCCCCCUGGGCUAACACUGACGCUCAGGCGCGAAAGCGUGGGGAGCAAACAGG